AGGAAAAGAAACUAACAAGGAUUCCCCUAGUAACUGCGAGUGAAGCGGGAAAAGYUCAAAUUUAAAAGCCUUCGGGCGUUGUAAUCUGUAGAAGUGUUAUCGGUCGUUGCCUCGGAUAAGUCUCUUGGAACAGAGUGUCAAAGAGGGUGAGAAUCCCGUUUAUGUCGAGCUACCAACGUCUAUGUGAUACACUUUCAAAGAGUCGAGUUGUUUGGGAAUGCAGCUCAAAAUGGGUGGUAAACUCCAUCUAAAGCUAAAUAUUGGCGAGAGACCGAUAGCGAACAAGUACCGUGAGGGAAAGAUGAAAAGCACUUUGGAAAGAGAGUUAAACAGUACGUGAAAUUGUUGAAAGGGAAACGCUUGGAGUCAGUCGCGUUGCAUGGACUCAGCCUCACGGUGUAUUUCUAUGCAACGGGUCAACAUUAGUUUUAGGCGCGGAAUAAGGAUUUGGGGAAUGUGGCAACCUCGGUUGUGUUAUAGCCCUUUGUCGUACGCUGCGCCCGGGACUAAGGUCUGCUUAAAGGAUGUUGACGAAAUGGCUCUAAGCGACCC
rnacentral:rRNA from 1 species